UUCACAGGUUAACCCGUGGCCUGAGUGGAAAGCAAAGUCCUUGCUAGUCACUAUUUGUGGCGACAUCUCCAAAUUGCGUGAAACCCGUCAUACAGCUUCAAGUACCACUUCAAUUGAGAAAUCUUUUGAAGGAACAGAGGUAACUCCUCCUCUUUCCCAAAGGUAAAAAGCUUGAAGACACGGUGGCAAUGCGCAGCCAAGCUCCUAAGUAUUUUAAAUAUAAGGAGAAGGUUCAGAGAGCAGACGGAGAUGGGCGGUAAUUAUCGCCGCUUAAGGUGUGCUCCAGCCUCUUUCGAAAGAUUGAG
rnacentral:ncRNA from 1 species